GGAGUGAUGGCCGAGUGGUCUAAGGCGCCGGAUUUAGGCUCCGGUCUAUAAAAAGGCAUGGGUUCAAAUCCCAUUCACUUCA
rnacentral:tRNA from 1 species